AACGAACGCUGGCGGCAUGCCUAACACAUGCAAGUCGAACGAGACCUCCGGGUCUUGUGGCGCACGGGUGCGUAACGCCUGGGAACUUGCCCUUAGGUUCGGAAUAACUCCCCGAAUGGGGUGCUAAUACCGGAUAAUCUCUUCGGACCAAAGAUUUAUCGCCUUUGGAUGGGCCCGCGUUGGAUUCGCUAGUUGGUAGGGUAAAAGCCUACCAAGGCGACGAUCCAUAGCUGGUCUGAGAGGAGGAUCAGCCACACUGGGACUGAGACACAGCCCAGACUCCUACGGGAGGCAGCAGUGGGGAAUAUUGGACAAUGGGCGAAAGCCUGAUCCAGCAAUGCCGCGUGAGUGAUGAAGUCCUUAGGGUUGUAAAGCUCUUUUACCCGGGAUGAUAAUGACAGUAACGGGAAAAUAAGCUCCGGCUAACUCCGUG
rnacentral:rRNA from 1 species